ensembl:lncRNA
CUUCACAAACGAAGGUAACAACUUCUUUUAUAAACAACAAUUUUAUAAUUACUGAGCUUUUUUUCUUUUUCGUUUCUUUUCUUUUGUUGUAAAAAGGCACAGACGAAUUGCAGCAUUUAAAACAUGGACAACAGAAUACUGAAGCUACAGCAGCUGUUCUACAAAAAACAAAUCAGCUGAAACGUCACUGUCUUUCAGUGACAAACCUGUAUAAUGCAUCUGCAAAUACUAAAUGAUUUGCAUACUGUGAACUGAGACAGACACACAGUAGCCACAAAAGUGCUAUUUUUGAUUUAGGUUAACACUUGCAUGCUGCAGAUGCAAAUGUUUACCUUCUAACAGAGACUGAGCUCUCAAAACUGUGAUAUUAUUUUUUUUAUUUUCUUGACUUUAAUUUUUUUUUCUUUUUUGCAGGUGUGGAAACUCCCUGUUAUGGCAGACAGGAUAGAGCUCAGUGUUUUGGAGUUUUGGGAGGAAGUAUAGACAUACAGCUGAUGAACGGCACCUCAGAAAUACAUAAAUACAAAUAUUUAAAGAAUUCAUUAGUACUACUAUAUGUGUCAGACAAACAAGUUCAGGCUAAUACCAUAGGACACAGAUCUCUCAUUUUCCACGUUAAUGGAACAUUUAGGAUCAACAACUUGAGCAGCAAUGACAGUGGUAUUUAUACCCUUCAAACCUUUGAUGCAGCUGCAAGAUCAACAGGCGAGUGGACUUUACAGUUGUUUAUUCAAGCUCCUGUGUCCUCUGUCCUGCUGGUCUCUGAGUGUCUGUCCCAGGGAGAGAGGAGGGUGUCCUGCUCCUCUGAGGGAGGGGACAGUCCUCAGUACAGCUGGACUCUGGAUGGACGCACACUGACAGAUGCUGAGCUUCUUUCUGUAAAUAAUGAGA